UGGGGAAUAUUGCACAAUGGGCGAAAGCCUGAUGCAGCGACGCCGCGUGAGGGAUGACGUCCUUCGGGUUGUAAACCUCUUUCAGUAGGGACGAAGCGCAAGUGACGGUACCUGCAGAAGAAGCACCGGCUAACUACGUGCCAGCAGCCGCGGUAAUACGUAGGGUGCGAGCGUUGUCCGGAAUUACUGGGCGUAAAGAGCUCGUAGGCGGUUUGUCACGUCGUCUGUGAAAUCCUAGGGCUUAACCCUGGACGUGCAGGCGAUACGGGCUGACUUGAGUACUACAGGGGAGACUGGAAUUUCUGGUGUAGCGGUGGAAUGCACAGAUAUCAGGAAGAACACCGAUGGCGAAGGCAGGUCUCUGGGUAGUAACUGACGCUGAGGAGCGAAAGCAUGGGUAGCGAACAGG
rnacentral:rRNA from 1 species